rnacentral:rRNA from 1 species
CGCUACCUAUACAUGCAGUCGAACGCUUCUUUUUCCACCGGAGCUUGCUCCACCGGAAAAAGAGGAGUGGCGAACGGGUGAGUAACACGUGGGUAACCUGCCCAUCAGAAGGGGAUAACACUUGGAAACAGGUGCUAAUACCGUAUAACAAUCGAAACCGCAUGGUUUUGAUUUGAAAGGCGCUUUCGGGUGUCGCUGAUGGAUGGACCCGCGGUGCAUUAGCUAGUUGGUGAGGUAACGGCUCACCAAGGCCACGAUGCAUAGCCGACCUGAGAGGGUGAUCGGCCACAUUGGGACUGAGACACGGCCCAAACUCCUACGGGAGGCAGCAGUAGGGAAUCUUCGGCAAUGGACGAAAGUCUGACCGAGCAACGCCGCGUGAGUGAAGAAGGUUUUCGGAUCGUAAAACUCUGUUGUUAGAGAAGAACAAGGAUGAGAGUAACUGUUCAUCCCUUGACGGUAUCUAACCAGAAAGCCACGGCUAACUACGUGCCAGCAGCCGCGGUAAUACGUAGGUGGCAAGCGUUGUCCGGAUUUAUUGGGCGUAAAGCGAGCGCAGGCGGUUUCUUAAGUCUGAUGUGAAAGCCCCCGGCUCAACCGGGGAGGGUCAUUGGAAACUGGGAGACUUGAGUGCAGAAGAGGAGAGUGGAAUUCCAUGUGUAGCGGUGAAAUGCGUAGAUAUAUGGAGGAACACCAGUGGCGAAGGCGGCUCUCUGGUCUGUAACUGACGCUGAGGCUCGAAAGCGUGGGGAGCAAACAGGAUUAGAUACCCUGGUAGUCCACGCCGUAAACGAUGAGUGCUAAGUGUUGGAGGGUUUCCGCCCUUCAGUGCUGCAGCUAACGCAUUAAGCACUCCGCCUGGGGAGUACGACCGCAAGGUUGAAACUCAAAGGAAUUGACGGGGGCCCGCACAAGCGGUGGAGCAUGUGGUUUAAUUCGAAGCAACGCGAAGAACCUUACCAGGUCUUGACAUCCUUUGACCACUCUAGAGAUAGAGCUUCCCCUUCGGGGGCAAAGUGACAGGUGGUGCAUGGUUGUCGUCAGCUCGUGUCGUGAGAUGUUGGGUUAAGUCCCGCAACGAGCGCAACCCUUAUUGUUAGUUGCCAUCAUUCAGUUGGGCACUCUAGCAAGACUGCCGGUGACAAACCGGAGGAAAGUGGGGGAUGACGUCAAAUCAUCAUGCCCCUUAUGACCUGGGGUACCAACCUGCUACAAUGGGGAAGUACAACAAGUUCGGAAAUCCGGAGGGUUAAGCUAUUCCUUAAAGCUCCUUCCAUUUCCGAUUGAAGGGGGCACUCCCCUCGGCUUGAACCGAAUCCCUUAUAAUCCUGGAAAACACCCCCCUUGAAAAAGUUCCCUGGCUUUGAACACCCCCUCGGCACCCCGAAGUUUGAACCCGAAUCUGGGGGACUUUUGGCGCCUACGAAAGAUGGAAAGG